rnacentral:tRNA from 1 species
CCCGAUAGCUCAGACGGUAAAGCGUCUGCCUACAAUGCUGGAGACCCAGGUUCGAUUCCUGGGGUCAGGA